UACAGAGGGGGCAAGCGUUGUUCGGAAUUACUGGGCGUAAAGGGCGCGUAGGCGGCCAUCUAAGUCGAACGUGAAAUCCCCGGGCUCAACCCGGGAACUGCGUCCGAUACUGGUUGGCUUGAAUCCGGGAGAGGGAUGCGGAAUUCCAGGUGUAGCGGUGAAAUGCGUAGAUAUCUGGAGGAACACCGGUGGCGAAGGCGGCAUCCUGGACCGGCAUUGACGCUGAGGCGCGAAAGCCAGGGGAGCAAACGGG
rnacentral:rRNA from 1 species